rnacentral:rRNA from 1 species
CACGCNGUAAACGCUGAGUGCUAGGUGUUAGGUCCUUUCCGGGACUUAGUGCCGACGCUAACGCAUUAAGCACUCCGCCUGGGGAGUACGACCGCAAGGUUGAAACUCAAAGGAAUUGACGGGGGCCCGCACAAGCGGUGGAGCAUGUGGUUUAAUUCGAAGCAACGCGAAGAACCUUACCAGGUCUUGACAUCCCGAUGCCCGCUCUAGAGAUAGAGUUUUACUUUUUGUACAUCGGAGACAGGUGGUGCAUGGUUGUCGUCAGCUCGUGUCGUGAGAUGUUGGGUUAAGUCCCGCAACGAGCGCAACCCUUAUUGUUAGUUGCCAUCAUUAAGUUGGGCACUCUAGCGAGACUGCCGGUAAUAAACCGGAGGAAGGUGGGGAUGACGUCAAAUCAUCAUGCCCCUUAUGACCUGGGCUACACACGUGCUACAAUGGUUGGUACAACGAGUCGCAAGCCGGUGACGGCAAGCUAAUCUCUGAAAGCCAAUCUCAGUUCGGAUUGUAGGCUGCAACUCGCCUACAUGAAGUCGGAAUCGCUAGUAAUCGCGGAUCAGCACGCCGCGGUGAAUACGUUCCCGGGCCUUGUACACACCGCCCGUCACACCACGAGAGUUUGUAACACCCAAAGUCGGUGAGGUAACCAUUUAUGGGNCCA